rnacentral:rRNA from 1 species
CCUACGGGUGGCAGCAGUGAGGAAUAUUGGUCAAUGGCCGUAAGGCUGAACCAGCCAAGUCGCGUGAAGGACGAAGGAUCUAUGGUUUGUAAACUUCUUUUAUAGGGGAAUAAAGGUAUCCACGUGUGGAUAUCUGCAUGUACCCUCUGAAUAAGCAUCGGUUAACUCGGUCCCAGCAGCGGCGGUAAUACGGAGGAUGCGACCGUUAUCCGGAUUUUUUGGGUUUAAGGGGUGCGUAGGUUGUUGUUUAAGUCGGCGGUGAAAGUUUGUGGCUCAACGAUAAAAGUGCCGUUGAAACUGGAAGACUGGAAUGUGUAUGAGGUAGGAGGAAUGCGUGGUGUAGCGGUGAAAUGCAUAGAUAUCACGCAGAACACCGAUUGCGAAGGCAGCUUACGAAGCCAUAACUGACGCUGAAGCACGAAAGCGUGGGGAUCAAACAGGAUUAGAUACCCGGGUAGUC